rnacentral:rRNA from 1 species
GACGAACGCUGGCGGCGUGCUUAACACAUGCAAGUCGAACGGAAAGGCCCUGCUUUUGUGGGGUUCUCGAGUGGCGAACGCGUGAGUAACACGUGAGUAACCUGCCCUUGACUUUGGGAUAACUUCAGGAAACUGGGGCUAAUACCGGAUAGGAGCUCCCGUCGCAUGGUGGGGGUUGGAAAGUUUAGGCUGUUGGGGAUGGACUCGCGGCUUAUCAGCUUGUUGGUGGGGUAGUGGCCUACCAAGGCUUUGACGGGUACCCGGCCUGGGAGGGUGACCGGCCACAUUGGGCCUGAGGUACGGCCCAGACUCCAACGGGAGGCAGCAGUGGGGAAUCUUGCACAAUGGGCGGAAGCGUGAUGCAGCGACGCCGCGUGCGGGAUGACGGCCUUCGGGUUGUAAACCGCUUUCGCCUGUGACGCAGCGGGAGUGACGGUAAUGGGUAAAGAAGCACCGGCUAACUACGUG